rnacentral:rRNA from 1 species
CGAAGGCAAGCGGAUCUCUUAAAGCUGUUCUCAGUUCGGACUGCAGUCUGCAACUCGACUGCACGAAGCUGGAAUCGCUAGUAAUCGCGGAUCAGCACGCCGCGGUGAAUACGUUCCCGGGCCUUGUACACACCGCCCGUCACACCAUGGAAGUCUGCAAUGCCCGAAGCCGGUGGCCUAACCACUUAUGUGGAAGGAGCCGUCUAAGGCAGGGCAGAUGACUGGGGUGAAGUCGUAACAAGGUAAC